rnacentral:rRNA from 1 species
CCUACGGGUGGCAGCAGUGAGGAAUAUUGGUCAAUGGACGCAAGUCUGAACCAGCCAUGCCGCGUGCAGGAAGACGGUUCCAUGCGUUGUAAACUGCUUUUGUACGAGGAUAAAAUCAGACUCGCGUACCUGUCUGAGAGUAAUGUACGAAAAAGGAUCGGCUAACUCCGUGCCAGCAGCCGCGGUAAUACGGAGGAUUCAAGCGUUAUCCGGCUUUAUUGGGUUUAAAGGGUGCGUAGGCGGGCGGUUAAGUUAGAGGUGAAAACCCUAGGCUCAACUUCGGAAUUGCCUUUGAUACUGUUCGGCUAGAGAGUAGUUGCGGUAGGCGGAAUGUAUGGUGUAGCGGUGAAAUGCUUAGAGAUCGUACAGAACACCGAUUGCGAAGGCAGCAUACCAGGCUACUUCUGACGUUGAGGCACGAAAGCGUGGGGAGCGAACAGGAUUAGAUACCCGAGUAGUC